UUAACUCUCUUCACUUUGUGGCAAAGAUCGUUGCCAACAGCUUUUGUGUUUUAGGGAGAGUCUUUCUCUUCAAGUAUUCAUGUCCAUUCUCCUAAGAGGAAACUCACUGGUUCUUUUUGAAUCCUGAAUGCAAUCGCCUUUCUCGAAGGUGUUGGGAGGGUGAGGCCACAUGAUUGACAGGCAGUUUUCAAUCUAUUCUAGAGUAGAUCAGGAAAGCUGGGCGAGCAAAGCUAUAGCCCUGCUGCCACUUGUAUGCUGGUUCUCAUGCAUGUACUUACACACACACACACACACACACACACACUCAUCCAUGCAAGGGCUCCCCAGCCUUCACAGCCUACCUAGGGACCAACUGGAGAACCUCUUGGCCAGAUGUCCCUAUCAAGUCUACAGAGCUAGCUCCUGGUUCCUUUACAGGUUGGAAUUACAUUCCAGGGAGUGAAUGUCCGCUUCGUAACAGGAUUGACCUCCAUGAGCCAUUGAUUAUAGAGCUAGGAAGAUCAUUGAUGUCAUGGAAUCCAAUAUCUUCCUUUGGCCGGACGGUGAGAGUGGGACCCAGUUGGAAGUGAUGUAUGUAAUCCAAUGAGCCACGCACUCGUCUGCCCUUGGGAAUGGCAAGAGGAAGUGCAGAGAGCUGGCGUGCCCCGAUCUGAGUCCACCAGGUGCCAUCAAGCUCUAGGCAUCAGCGCUUUUGACCUUCCAGACAUCCUUGGUCACCCAAGGGUUGCAGACAGCGCAUCUGGUGAUCGGACCAAACAGGUGUCUGCAGGUCAAGGAGGGCCUUGGUUGCCAUG